rnacentral:rRNA from 1 species
GAUGAACGCUGACAGCAUGCUUAACACAUGCAAGUCUUUGGCGAAGCUGUGCUUGCACAGCCUAGCCAAGGCGGACGGGUGAGUAACGCGUAAGGAACUUGCCCUGCAGUCAGGGAUAACAGACGGAAACGACUGAUAAGACCUGGUAAAGUCAGGCGGACUCAUGUCCAGCCUGAUGAAAAGAGAUGCUGCAGGAGAGCCUUGCGUCCUAUUAGCUUGUUGGUGGGGUAACGGCCCACCAAGGCGAUGAUAGGUAGCCGGCCUGAGAGGGUGGACGGCCACAAGGGGACUGAGAUACGGCCCUUACUCCUACGGGAGGCAGCAGUGGGGAAUAUUGGACAAUGGGGGCAACCCUGAUCCAGCAAUUCUGUGUGCACGAUGAAGGUUUUCGGAUUGUAAAGUGCUUUCAGCAGGGAAGAAAAAAAUGACGGUACCUGCAGAAGAAGCGACGACUAAAUACGUG